AGCCAAUCCAGGGACAAGUCCCUGAGAAAACUUGUUUCCUUCCUUGCAGGCAAUGAAGCUCUGCCUCUUUAUCCUCCUCAUAUGCUCCUCCUGCACAUACGCCGGCUUCGGACCCCCGCCAAAUCCGCAGGAACUCAUAAGACUCCUCUAUGGGAACCCCUGUGACUGCGGUGGAGAGUACAACCUUCAGGCUUUAAUUCCUCCGGUUGCCUCCAAGGACCAUUUCAAAAUAACUCUUACGAUGUUGAGGUUGGAUUUAUUACCUUCUCUAACUGCCAUACCAUAACCAACAUCUCCACCCCUGUUUGCUCUCCUCCGGGUCAGGUAUU